rnacentral:rRNA from 1 species
CUCCCGCCGGGCGACCGGCGCACGGGUGAGUAACACGUAUGAAACCUGCCCGUAGCAGGGGGAUAAGCGGAAGAAAUUCCGUCUAAUACCGCGUAACAACCCAUGGAGGCAUCUCUGUGGGUUUAAAGGAAGCGAUUCCGGCUACGGAUGGUCAUGCGUCGCAUUAGCUUGUUGGCGGGGUAACGGCCCACCAAGGCGACGGUGCGUAGGGGUUCUGAGAGGAAGGUCCCCCACACUGGUACUGAGACACGGACCAGACUCCUACGGAAGGCAGCAG